GGGCAUUGCAUCGCAAGCUCCACCGUAGCUGUCUCCAUCUCCACAGCAGCUCCUUCCAAUCCGUCUUCUCUCCAUUCAGAUUCUGAACAAUCGUACGGAAAACCAAAAAUCCCCAAAUUCCAAAACCAAGAAACUGCUGUCUCAUCCUCAUCCUCCUCCUCCAUCUCGUUGAUUUUCUCCAAUUAUUGUUGCAGUCAAUGUUCGUUCUUCAUUAUCGGCUAAAGGUGAUCCAAGUUUUUAAUCGCCAAAAAGAAAGAGCACCGAAAGUAAUGUCGACCAAGAUAUGUGUAGUGAUUCGAUCUUUUCAUCACCCAAACCUUUUGUGGGGGCUUCCACCUUCUACACGGAGGAUUGCAUUGCCUGAAUCACGAGUCUUAUAUACUGUGUUGCGAUCACCUCAUAUUGAUAAAAAGUCCAGAGAGCAGUUUGAAA